UCAGAGCUAGUUAUGGUAUUGCACAUUCCUUGUCAACUCUGUUUAUGGCUCCCCAAAACAUUGUGUCUGUAUUCUAACAACAUCCUUUUGUAGCUCUCAUGGAACAGAAAAGUAUUUUUGUUGCAGUUUUUAUUUCCAGCGGUUAUGUAAAAGCCUUGUUUUUUAUGGCAUGUAAAACUGACAAAAAGCGAGCUUUACAAGCACUGUGGCUGACUCCGCCACCAUGCUUAGCCACCGCUUUCAUCAUUCCUAUCUGCUUUGAGAGCAAACACGGAAUCCUUGGCAAAGAAAAUGAUUGCCAGAGCGUUUAUUGGAUUCACAGCUGGAAAUGCAAUCAGCACCCUGUCCUAUAAUUCAGACCAUAAACACAGCAGACAGUGUCACAGCAGCAAGUGUGAAUUUUCAGACAGAGAUGUUAUGCUGAUUUUAAUCAAUUAAUGCACAAAAGAUGGAAAGCCUUUCAUUGCUUUCUAUUUUCUGAAGCAAUAUUACACUUUAUGAGCGUAAUGUUAGGAACAUUUAUCCUUUUCUUGAACUGAUAGCAUGAAUCCAGGUCAAAGCUGUAUUAAUCCCUCAUCUCUAUCUAUAUCAAUCACAAAGGAGGAUAUAAGUGGAUUAUAAUGAUGAUACGAAUUGUGCAAAAAUGGACUGCAACUCAGUAUCAAGAGGAUGUCCUGAAUGACAACAACACAACAGCACAAAAUGAGCUACUCUAUGGAGGAUUUAAUGGAGAAUGAAGAAACUCCACAGGCUCCAGUUGAUUCUUACUUGUAUGUAUGAAGUUUAUUGAAAACAAAUAUGUGAUGUCAGAGUAGCCUUUGGCACAAUGUAUACAUGGAUACAGUCUCACCAAAAACUUAAAGGAUUACAGGAAACAGUCACUUACUAACUUAUAGUAUAGCACUGAUCAUGCAACCUGAGAGGAGGGAACACUUGGGCACACAAGGUUAACUCUAAUUGUAAAUAAUGAAGAUAGCUUCGUUACCCAUCCAAGGCUAAUCCCUUAUCUCAUAUGCUGGCGCCCAGAACAUGAAACAUCUUUUGUGAAAAAACACGAAUGUCAGAGAGACAGAUGUCCUGUAGAUUAAACCAUUAUGGCAGGGCAUUUAUUAUUUAUUAGAACAUUCUUUUAUGAACAUAUAUCCAUAUAUUGAAGAUCAUUUCUUCCACACAAGGGGACCUUAAUGUAGACACACUGCUUAUCUCAGCAGCAGAGACCUUUUAUGACAGGGUACGAUUGUUUCAGUGACCACAUAUUCAAUUGUCCUUAUGCCCUUAAUAUUUUUUGUAUAUCUGUUAAAUUAGUAGAAUUAGUAGGCCUAUAGACUUUAGGCUCAAAUGUGUCUAGAAGAAAAGGUUGAAUGUGUGUGAUUGCUGUUUUUUGGUUUUUUAGUAUGGGAGCUGGCUUCUGUCAUGUUUCCAGACUUUACAAACUUGCCAGGAUUGUAAAAUACUGACUUGCAGUAUUAUUAAGUGCUAUGUAGCGUUUUGGCAUCUAAUUUGUCUCAAUUAGAUGAUUAGACUCAAAUUGGACUCCUUGUAUCAUAUUACAUCAUCUCACCACUACCUGAAGCAGCUUGACCACACUAAUACAGACCAUUUUUGUAUGGAAUUUCAGUGUGGUAAUAGCUCAGCAUAAAAAGCAUUAAGUCUACAUAUUCUUGAAUAAUUCAAUACAGAUAUACUACUCAAACAUUCCUCAGAUUGCUGUAGAAAGUGUCACUCAGUAGCCAAUUUGAUCCUGUGGGAACGAGACUGAACAACAAUUAAUUAAUAAUUCAUGUUACAGUCCUAAUUCCUAAUUAUUCCAGUUAACUAGGACUUCACGAUGAAAUGCUUAAGUGACUUUUUAAAUACAAAAUAUAACUAUUUAUCUUACUUACCAAUACAAUAGCUGAUUUCUGGUGAGUCAGGUGAUUUAGUCCUCUUAAGUCCUAGAUGUGCACAAAAUACAUGAAUGUGAACUUUUGAAUAGUUUACAAAAUAGUUAGCCAUUGUAUAUUUCAGUGGCAUUUCCCCUACUUCAACUUGAAGAGCACACACUGGUGCCGUUUUCACUGCCCCUAAGCAAAUCCUCAGACCACAGGCCUGAAUAACGUCCAGGUCCGACAGCACAGUCUUGGCUGCUGCGCCAUACAUCACACUACCAUAACCUUUCUUGCCCAGAUAUUUCAAUGACGCAAUAUCAGCUCCCAAUUCUAGCCCAGCAAGACACCUCAUGACAUUAAUGGCUUUCUUACUUUUCUUCACCAUGCUUCCUCUAUGUUCUCUCCAUGUUAGUCUGGAGUCAAAAUGUAUUCCAAAAACAUUCUACUCUCUCGACUCCCAUAUAACUUCAGAUUUCUUGCUUCCCUGAUUUUUCUACUUGUGAAGAACAUUACUUUAGUUUUUUUCCACAGUUAAUUUUAAACCCCAUUUUAUUCCCCAUCUUUCCAUUUCAAUUUCUUGUAGUUUCUUAACUAAAUCUUUUAGAUUCCCUCCCCCCUUUCCACAAAGCCCCAUCAUCUGCAAACAGAGACCUUCCCAUGCCUAAAGGUACACUUUUAGAAAUAUCAUUUAUCAUAACUGAGAAUAUUGUAGGACUUAUAACACUCCCAUGGGGCGUAUCAUUUUCUCCAACAUGUUUUUCCGAGAGCUCUGACCCUAUCUUAACCUGAAUAGUCCUUCCACGUAGAAAAUCCAUAAUCCGAUUGAAGAUGUUUCCCCCAAUUCCCAUUCAAUGAAUCUCAAUUAACAACUCUUCUCUCCGUAACAUAUCAUAAUGCCUUUUCCACAUUGAAAAACCUGGGCUUUUCUGACCUCAUCCUCAAACCCCGAACCAGGUCCAUUGUGCUCCUGCCUCUCCUAAAUCCUCUUUGGUAUGCAGCCACCAAGUCCCUCUUUUCCAGAAAGUGCACGAGCCUCUCAUUAACCAUCCUUUCUAUUAGCUUAAGAUAUGUGACAUUAGAGCAAUGGGUCUGUAGAUUACUGGCUUACUACGAUCUUUCCCAGGCUUUCUGAUUGGAAUUAUAAUUGCUUCCCUACAGCUCAUAGAGACUUGCCCCUCCUUCCAAAGUUUAUUGGAUAACAUCAGAAACUUAUUUAAUCCUUCUUCACUUAGAUGAUUAAUCAUUAUAUAACAUAUUCCAUCUUUUCCCGGUUCACUUUUUCCUGUAUUGGCUAAUGGCCUCUUCAACUCUCCAACAUUAAAUGGGAUAUCUAGUUCAUUACCACUAUUAUUCUUUCUCCCUAGUGUCUCCAUUCCAGCUUUAGUGUUUUUUCCCUGCCUUGCUUUCCUUCCUCAGUCACAUUAUUGGAGCUGUGUACUGCUACAAAGGUAUUUACCAUUAGCUCAGCCUGUUCUUUAUUGGUUAUCACCACUUCAUAGACCCAUAGAACGUCCUCCAAUAUGUCCUCUUUGCCUGUCUUACUGUUUUCCUGACCAUUGCUUGGGCUUGUAUGUACUGAACUAUUGACCAGUUUUAAUGCUUUGUUUCUAUUCUUUACCACUUGUUUGCACUUAUCAUCCCACCAUGAUACUAAAGUCUUCUUUGUCCUGCCUGUGGCUUUAGGAAUAGGACUUACUAGCGCUGAUAUUAUACCCUGCAUUAUUUUAUGGUUAAACAUUUCUGUAUUCAUAUUGUUACUAAUCUGAUGUAGAUGUUUAUCACCUUCACUCAUGAAAUUUCCCCAAUUAGCUUUUCCAAAAAUCCAAUUUCCACCUUUAUUUUACUGUAUAUUGGAUAAUGUUCACUACCAAUGGUCCCUACCUGAUACACAUGCCAGUCACACAAUGGUGUUAAGGUAUUGGUUACUAACAUUAGAUCUAGCACAGGUUCCUUGCCAGUGUUUACAUCUAUCCUUGUGUUUCUGCCAUCAUUAAUACAAACAAGGUGUUUCUCAUCCAGCAACUCUUCCACUACUCGGUCGUUGUAAUCAGUUUUAUCACUCUCCCAUAACGUAUUAUGUGCACUGAAGUCUCCACACCACACAGGGCCUCUUCUAUUUAUUCCUCCUAUUUCCUCAAGUUUACUGAGUUCUAAUUUUCUGCAUGGAUUAUAGAAAUUUAUAACCACCAGGUUCUUCCUUUCUGCCCACACUUCAAUAACCACACACUCCAGCUUAGUUCCAAUACCAAUAGUUCUGUAGGGGAUGCCCUCCUUCACAAGGGUGGCACAACGCCCUCCUGCUCCAUCUUUCCCUUCCCGCCUGAUUGCCACAUAUCCAUUUAUUAUGAACUCUGAGCUUGGUUUUAACCACGAUUCCUGGACACACAACACGUCUGGUUUUUCCUUCUGGCUGUAGAUGAACCGUUUGAAAUCCUGGCCAUUAGCAAUCAAACUUCUUGUGUUCCACUGCUGGAGGAUUAAAAUAGUUAUACUAUUAACCAAUAAAUUGUGUUCCCUGACUUGCCUGAAUAUCUAACUUUAUCCCUGGCCUCCUCCCAUCUCACACCUUUCAUAUCCAGAUGAUGGACAGCUGCUUUGACAAUAAUCUGGAUUCUCUCUGUUUUAGAUUUUACAUCUGCAGUCGCAUUUCUAACUCCUGCUAUAAAUGUCAAAAGUUUCUUUUUCUCUGCCAACAUCUUCUUUUCAAAUUCUUUCACAAUACUUGUCAGUGUUUCCCACACUCCUGAUUGUAAGUCAGUUUCUCCUGUCCAGCCAUCUUAACUGCCUCGGCAUAAGAGACUUUUGCUCUUAUCUGCUGUGCUGCAGCCUCUCGCUUCAUUGAUUCACAUCCCCAGCACACAACACUGUGUUCACCUCCACAGUUACAGCGUUUCGGUUUUAUACCUGAUCCACAUUUUUCAUAUUCAUGAUCACCACUAUACCUUGCACAUCUAAGCUACAUGGCCAAACUCCAGCAAUUGAAACACCUCAUUGGCUUUGGGACAAAUUCCCUCACAUUAUAUUUGAUAAAUCCAAAAUAAAGUUAUUUUGGGAUAUCUUUGGCAUCAAACUCAACCAUCACUGUUUCUGUCUCUUUUUUUCUCAGCUCCUCUUGUCAUUCUUUUAAUAGUUCAGGUUUUCAACUAGCUCCCUCAUACUGACACUAAGGGAGCUCUCUGACUUUCACUGUUUUUGUGACUUUUCCUACACACAGUAACUUUCUCACUUUAUCUACUUGGAUCUCUGUAUUACACCCAAGUGGCAAGUUACCAUUAUUUUGGUGAGUUUUAACGGGUCACUUGUCUUUAUGCCACCUUCUCCCCCAAACUUUACCACAACAUUAAGGGAUCCUGUUUUAGGAUUCCUUGCCUCAUCCUCCUGUCCAUCACUUUCUGUUCCUCCCAGUCUAGCCUCAUCCUGUUUCUUCCUCUUCCUCACACUAGCCUUCUGAUUCCUGCCUCCCUUCCCCACCUGUUCCCAUUCAAUUCCCCCUCUAUCACUACCAUACACCUCCCCCUCGCUCAACUCCAUGCUGUUGUAGCUGUCCUCGUCUACCUCCUUCCCCGCCAAGUUACACAGUCAAUGAGAAGUAGCAUGAGGGAACCGCUAAUGGGCCUAGACAGGCUGUCGGCCGAUACAGGCUGUUGGCUGAUACAGGUUACCAAAUGUCAAAGUCGAUUAAUCUUUACCCAAAUUGAUUCAAACCAGCGUAACAAUAAACAGCAACCAAAUUCAAAACUCUGUGCUCCAACUGUCUUCCGCCGAUCACAAGGAGGACUGACACGCUCACACCGAAGCUCUUGCUGACCUCAUCAGUGAUGUCAUGGGUUAGACCAAGUAUGGGGGGAUUCAUUUUAUUACCAAGUUGUGGUUGCUGUGUGUGUAAACAAUGUUAACAGAUACAAGUGACAUUGUCAUAUACCAGUUGUUAUAAUGGAAAGGACACUACUGAUAGAAACAUGGUUCUGCCUUGAUAGAUUGGAGGGCCUAUUUAAAGGGAGAGUUGUUGGUUUGAGAAAGUGCAGAAAUGAAAGAGGAUGUCUGUAGAUGUGUUAAGGUAAGUUUGAUUUGCUUGAUUUUGUUUCAUUAUUUGGGGAAAAUUGUUUUUGGUUACACUGGUGAGAAUAAAUCACCUUUUAUAAAUCUCUGGGUCUGUUUCUUAUCACCUUACUUGACACUCUGGCAAAGCUUCCUCACAGUUAAACUUUAUUUUACAAUAAAAAAGUAAAUAAUUGUAAAAAGCCAGAAAGUGUUGCAGAAAUAUAUUUCAUUUAGAAACUUUGUUCGAUCGCCAAAACGUGGAUGUUCUCAGGAGAUGCAUGUUAUCACUUUUCUUUUUUCUAGCAUAUUCCUGUAAUUGUAUCUAAUUUUAAAAAUUUUUUGCAAUGUAUAAUGGCAGUCUAUGGGAGGAAUGUUUGAAAGGUGAAAUCUCAACAAGUGCUAAAGUAUUCAUACUUCAUGGACAGGUGUCCUAUGUGGAAAUGCAUAACAUCUUAAAACAUGCUACUAAUAGCAUCAUCAUGUGGUCAGUUAUUAAUCAUUUUGGCUAAUAACUUAGGAACCGUGAGGUGUAGCAAAACAGUAUUUGCACAGUCCUUUCCUUGGAUGAUGCAGAUUAGACUGAUAUAGGCCACUCCCAUUUGUGCCGAUGAAAUGUUUCCGCCAUUUUGGAUUUUUUGAUAAACACAUUUUUUUGCUUCUUUGGCACAUAUUUCGUUUAAUCUUCACCAAACUUGGUGCAUACCAUAUGUUGAUGAUCCCCGAAAAAAAACUUGAGAUCAUUUUUGGGUAUCACUUACCAAUUGUCUGUAAUUGGUUACCAAAAUUUUGAAAACAUGGCCUGAUGCACUUAACGGGUCAUAACUCAUCGAUACAAAAUUUGAUUGCAACCAAAUUUGGGAAUGUUGUACAUACAGUCACACUGCACAAGUGUGUAACACUUCAUACAAUUCUACCCACAAUCGGCGCCACAGUAACAAUAUUUCUACAGUUCUGUUGUCUAUAUUAAACUUGGGACACAAGUUCUCCAUGAGAGUAUGCACAACAUAUUGAAACAUGGCACCAAUACCCCCACCUUGUGGCCAUUAAUAAAACACCACCAUACUACUUAUUAACUACCAUAUCUUUUAAAUGUAAUAUUCCAUGGCAACCAAAUGCAGCAAAGUAGAAGGGCAUACGGAACAAGUCUGUAGCAUUUGAUACAAUUUAACCUGUAGGUGGUGCUACAACAUUUAAAGUAUUGCUGCUGGAGUAGCAGCUUGCAGCGGCAGCAGCAGUAGGAGGUCUCUACAACAGCAAAGUUGGCACAUGUCUGCCUGGACAGUGAAGUAUGAUUUUUCACCUAUUUUCAUCCAGCAAAUCAAUAGGUGAGUUCCUUUUUGCUCUACUUGGUAGCAUAGGCAAAAUACAUUACAUCUCCAAUUAAUUUGAAUUAUGCUAUAUGCCCUUACUACUAUUUACCCUACCAUCUGAUCACAACAGCAAACAAAAAAAGCUUUUUUACUAGUAUAUAUUUUUUGUUAAGCCUGAGAUUUAUUCUUUGAGAUUCUUUCUGACUUAUUAUCCAAUCUUGAUGAUUUUUAGUUUUUGCUAAAAUUGUUUUCUUGAGGUGAAUUUUAUUCCAAUUAAAUGAGGAAAACAUUGGAUUGAGUGAAUUAAGUUAAGUUAAUUAAGUUUUGAAAUCAGAGCCUUGCUAACUAGCUACAUCUGUACUGUUGCUAAAAUAAUCUCUCGUUUCAGCGGCAUCUCAACAUUUCUGUAAGCGGAGCUGGACUUGUGACGCUCCAAAUUACACGGCACUUCAUAGGGAUAAAUUCUGAGAGAGGCACCCUGGCAGGACGGGACAAACUCCUGUCACAGAAGACAGAAAGUCACAGAGAAAAAGAUGACGGCAGUUAACCGUCAUGUGUUUAGUCUACUAAAGAAACUAAUGGACUUUUGAAUGGGACUUGAACCGUCACACCCACCCACACAAUCAGUCUCUUAGCCACACUUUUCAGCUAAUCACUUUGUUGCUGUUGGUUACUCAGUCAGUCACUCAGUCACUCACUCACUCACUCACUCAUUACAAAACCUUAUAAAUACACACUUAACUUGGACAGUUUGGUUACAGCUUGCAUUUUAGAGAAGCAUGUUCAUAUUUUAUAAUGAUUCAUGUCUUUAUUUGUGUACAAUGUUUAGACAGACUGCACUGUUUGUUUAAGUAUUUACUUUCUCAGUGACUGAAAUUUAAGUUUAAUUAUAUGAAUGAGCUCCAUGCUUUGUUUUUUCUCUUACUUUCUAAUUUAUGUACAGAUGUUUAGCAUCUUCAUUUAAAAUGUUAAUAAAGUGAGACAUGGUUGGAAAGAAACACGUUGAAGUUGUAUCAUUUGUCUUAACAUUUUACAUCACAAUUCAAAAGGCUGUUUAUUCAUUGUUGUAAAUACUGUCAGUGAGUAAUUAUAUCAAGUCACAGGAGUAGAUUGUCGUACAUAUUGCAGUUUACAGUGAAAAUCUGUAAGUAUACCUUUUAUGAAAAAAGUGCAAAUUAACAGUAAUAAACUGCAAUUCUUUUGACAGUGUUUUACUGUAAAAGUAGAAAAUAAGAAUGUUAUUCUGUAUUUACAAAAACAGCAACAAACUGAUAAUUUCAGCAACAGCAAGACAGCUUAAAUUUUACAGUAAAUUAACCCUGCUUGCAGUUCUUUACUGUUUUUUGACAGAAAAAUCUUUAACAGUGUAGUCACCCUGGGGGGAGGUCCCUGCACUGUUUGCUGUGGUUAAAGACACUGAGACGGAUGAGUGUUUACUGUUUGCAUGUGUUUACGUGGCUGUGACUGCACUUGUGGCAGGUCAGAGGGUUCAACCAACCCUCAGUAGAUCCUCUGUUGCAUCAGUCAGAAGGACUUACACGAAUGAAAACAGAGAAUAAUGGAGCUUGUAGGCAGUGACUCACCACAGCUGUUUGUUUAUGUUGAUGAAGUUGGAUUCAACUUGGGGAAAGUCAGGAGGAGAGGGAGGAACAUCAUUGGCCACGGAGCUACAGUGGAUGUGCCAGGCUAACGUGGGGCGAACAUCACCAUGUGCGCUGCCAUCUCCAUGAAUGGUGUCAUUGUCCACAUACCCUUGAUUGGACAGCAGAACACUGAACACUUCAUUGUAUUUUUAGAUGUAGUGCUCUAAGAAGAGGCAGACAGCCCAAUAUUGGCGUCAUAUGGGACAAUGUGAGCUUCCAUUGCUCACCCCGCAUCAGGAAAUGGUUUAAAGCACACUCUUGUGUGAACAUGGAGUUCUUGCCACCAUGUUCCCCUUUCCUGAAUCCAGGAAGAGUUUUUCUCUUCAUGUUGAUGGAAAGUGAUGACCAUCAACCAUACCAACAGAUAUCAUUACUUUAUGCGAUGAAUGCUGCUUGCGAGGCCAUUACUGCAGAAAACUGCCAGGGGUGGAUUCGUCAUAGCAGAUGUUUUUUCCCCUCAAUGCAUUACAAGAGGAUUUAUAACAUGUUGAAAAUUUGUGGUCUGACUCACAGGGGAGAGUGGAUGAAUAAAUGUUUUGAGUAUUUUUUUUAAUUUUCUUUACAUAACGUCAACGUAGGGUUGACGAUAAUGAUGACGUAUCCACAAUUUUGUUCUCAGUUUCCUGUAAAAAAAUAUUAAUCUUCAAAAAACUGAGUACAUUUUUGGUUUCAUUGAGGAAUUUUCUGUCUUUGUCUUUUCUGUCUGUGUAAAAGUUAUUUUCUGUGUUUAUUCUGUAAAAGUUAUUUGAAAUUGAACAAGGAUAAGGAAUAUAGAUCUAAAUGGGAUUAUGUAUAACCAGGUAAUUUCAAAGUCUGUAUCAUAUCACCCUAAGCAUCAAAUGGAUCAUAGAACAAAUGAACCUUUGACCUAUUUCAUUUUAAUGAGUGUAUUUACAAUUUUGAUUGCCAAUGUUCAAAGAAUGGUAAAGAAAGCCUCCUAUUUUGAUGAAAUGGCUUCUUGUUUUCAUGCGGUUAUUUGAUUUUUGCAAAUGUAUUUCAAUGUUUUGAGCAUCUCACAGCAUUUUGCAAUAUUUAUUAAAUGUUUUGACCAUCUGAGAGCAUUUUUCUCAUUAUAUGUAUUAUUUUGCAAAAUGAAAUAGUGUUGUGUGGUUCGUGUUAACUGCUUUGAACAUGUGAACUAUGUUUCAGGCAUUGUGCUCAACCAAUGGAGAAAAACAGUAAAAGAAUAUUUUUACUACUUCA